UCCGGCCUUUAACAUAUAAGAUGCACUAUCACUGCAUAACAUUAAUAUGUUACCAACUUUUGUCUCAAAAGAAUCUCCCCAUAUUUCUUUAAAGGUUUUAAUUACAAAUUUUGAAACCGUGUUAGCAUUCGUGACUUCAAUGACCUUACACCUUAACAGGUAGAUGGGAGUGUCGAUGUUUGAGAUCAGCGGUUUUUACAAGUAAAUUUACAACAAAUCUUCCUAAGAAAUCUGUGCUUUCGUCCAGCGACACCCAUAAUUUGUUUUCACUUAUAUUUUCAUAAAUUUCCUUUAUUUUACGGUUGAAAACUGUAUUUAAAUAUUUCUUACGCAAAAUAGUCUCUUUUGGCAAAAUGUACGAUGUACACUGGCAACAAAUAUAUUUAGCAAAAAACUGACGAAAUGCAGCACUGUUGACCCGUUUCCACGGAAUAUUACAUAAAACUAGAAAGUUUAUCAGAUCAAUAUUAAAAUCUUCUUGAUUCCAUUUCGUAGUUUUCGUGCAGGAUUCCUGACGGCGAUGAACACCAGAUUUUACGUGUCUGUCAAUCACACUUUUACGCUUUGCAGAUAAAUUCACUUGGCACUUUGUGCAAAAGAUCGAGCCAUUUGAUUUAUCAUAAAUUAGAUCCGGCUUAUUAUCUAUCCAUUUACGAAUUGUGAUUUCAUUUGCCAUAAUUAUUUUUAAUAUAAAUAUUAAAGGAAACGCAUAAACUCGCAAGUGAAAACGUCAAUGUAAUUGACAAGUCUAAGACGUAAUAGAUGUAAACACUUAAAAGUCUCAAGAGGAGAUAAUUUACAAGUGGCCAGUAUUUUCUUAAUAAUCACAUUUUGUUCUAUGGAGGAUAGAAAUAUUUUGUAAUUUUUGAUAUAUUUUUAAUAAAAAUGUAUAGAUAAAUAUUGCUCAAAAUUUAAUAAAGUCUUAUCCAUCUUAUGCUUUUGUCACCCGAUUGCAUCCGCAGUCCGCCCUUUGAUAAUUACAUAUUGGUCCCAUUUUUCUCAAAACACAGUUCUAAUGAUUGGAUCCAUAAGGAAUCGAGGGAACUCCUCAAAUGUGAAAGGCAUACGUAUUUUAUAUCAGAAAAUCACUAAAUCACUUUACAUUAAAUCAGUGGCAUUAGAUGUAGUGGAACUACUGAUGAUGAUCAGAACGGAACUCUUCAACGACGAUUUCGAUCGCUAGAUUUCGAUUUCAUCUCGGAUCUGGAACUGGACCUGGACCGGGACGUGGAUCAGGACCUGGAUCUGGAUCUGGACCGGGACCUGGAUCUAGAUCUGGUCUUAUCUAGAAACCAAGCAUUUGCAUUUAGAUAGCUAAUUUGCUUUUUGGUGAAAUAAAACUGUUCAGAAAGACCAGACUGGAAUACCUCUACGAGAAAUAUUUUAAGGCAUAUUUUAACGUACUAACAGUUGUUAUUCAUAUUGUUUUAAUGUCUAAAGUGAAUUCGUAUUAAGAUGUCAAUUAGAACACCGACCCUUACAUACCGCAAUGCUACUAGAAAAGUGGGUCAGGUUAGGUUAGAACUGCAAUCCUCACAGAACCGAAUUGCUACAAAAAAUGUUGGUUAAGUUAGGUUAGAACUGUGAUCUUUACAGAACUGAACUUUAACCAGAGAAAUGGGUUAUGUUAGGUUAGAACUGAGACCCUCAUAGCCACUCACAUGAUUCCGAUUUUAACGAAAGGUGCCCUGAAUUGCUCUGCCAUUUCGCAGAUACGACGGCACAGUGUCGUGAUAUCUUCAAAAAUCGAUAACUUUGCUUCUGCUUAAGCAUUUGGAAUGAUUCUUUCGGUUUUAUACCUAAUGGUAAAGAAACAAAUUUAUUUUCUUACUUUAGCUAUUUGCGGUUAUAAUAAAAAUAAUUAUUAAAAAUUCACGAAGUUUACCCAAAGGAAUAAUUUCCGAGUUAUAGUAGAAAACUAUUUUUAAUAAAAAAUUUAAAUGGAUAACAUAUCUUUAUUUUUAAUUCAAUUUAAAGAAGGCUUAAUAAGCUUUUAAUUGAUACUAAACACCUUGAUAGCUCACCUAUAAAAUUGCAGAGUAAAACUGUUGUGUGCUCCACCUGGCGUGUAACUAUGUGCUAUGUUCGUGAUUUUUUUGUGGCUAAUUUAGACACUGAAGUACAAAAAUAUAGUAAAAAACCGUUUAAGACACUAAUUACCUUGAAAUAAAAUAUAUAAUUUAUGUAAUUAUCACAAUGAUAGUGGCUUUAUAACUUAAAAUAACAAAAGAGUAUUUACAUACCUACUAAACUUUGGUGUUUUUAAAACGGCCGAUCACCAACAACCGAACUAACUUAUAACUACACUAAGACGUAUAAUAUAUGCACCAUAACAUAACAUACACUUCACAACAAAUUAAGCGCAAUAAGCAAAUAGUAACUAUUAACACAUGAAAUUAUACUGAUUACAAACGUAAAUAAACAACACGUGAUAACAGCGGUGGCCGGCAAACUGUCCUGCGCCAUGUCAAAAACAAAAAUGGCUACCUAUUUAGGGCGGAGACACAACAGUCGCGCGGUGCAGAUGUUCAACUAGGAACUUUUAACACAUUCACUACCAGACGAAAAACGGCAAGCUACCCCAGGAUCCGGGCAAUAUAUAUAAGAAAUAUUAGUAAAUAGAAAUUAUAAGUAAGUAGUAACAAACACCCCAAAACGCGUAUGCAACGUCUAGUGUACCACAUGCCUUACGAUGUGCAGAAAUGCUUUAAGCAACCACAGUUGCUGUGUUUGUACUUACAAUUUUCCGUCACAUGGUUUGUUCGCUAAUCCUGGAUAAUACACAGUGAUUUAAUGCAUUUUAUUGUUUAUUAAUGUAAUUUAAUAAUCGAACUAUUUAAUGACUAUAGGUUGCUCAAGAUAUAUUUGGUAAUCAUAGAAAUCUAGGGCAUUAAAAUAGGAAACACGCCAAAAAUCUACAGAGUUAUUGGUUUGAAGUGAGAUUUUAUGGUCAUCAAUAUUAAGUAGGUCUUAAAUAUAGUUUUAAUCUAAUAGACCAAUAAACGCGGAGUAAUUUAAUAUAUAAUACUAACAGAAAUAUGUAAAUUUGAAUACUUACGGAAUUUUAAAACACGCAGCAACUUUUAACACACGCACUUUCCCGAACAACUUGCAAAGUAACAUAGAUAAAAAAUACUGUGGUUAUGUCUAUGUGGUUGAAACAUUUUUUAAAUAUUGUCACGUUGGUAUUAAUAAAUGUUUACACCAUAUCUAUGCAGCCCUUCACAGAUAAGAAAAAAAAAACCGCUUACACUCCGUUCGCAACUCGAGUUGCGACGAUCAUUUUAGAGGUGCGAAAUGUUGAAACCUUAGUUGCUAGAAUCAUGUGAGUGGAUAGAACCGAACUGCUAUCAGAAAAAUGGGUUAGGUGGGUUAGACUAGGUUUGGACCUUCUAAAAUCUUUCACUGGUCUCCCCAUUCAAGACGGUUUUUUUCUUCUUAAGUAUUAUUUAUAAUUUGAAUGCCAUGUCCAAUAAUUACCGUCAAGUGUGGUAACUGGGGACAGGUCGGUUAAGUAUAAACAUUUAUAUGUUAUUAUGUUCUAAUCUAGCUAGUUAAAUCUUGAUUGUAAAAAGUAUACUGCUGCAAGCCACGUUGAAAUAAUUGGGGAAUAUUUAUUUUGUUUAAUGUUGUCCAGUCCCCACUUGACGUUACAAUUGUUUAUUGUGGGAAAGUGAUGCUCCCUCCCUAAAAAUCUACAUCCGAGGUUUUUUUCUUUAGUCACACUUUAUAAAUACUUUUUUUUUGCAGGUACAAAUCAACCAAAUACCAUCAGCCAAUGAUAGUAACAGAACGGAAACUUUGCCGUCAACACCGAAUGAAGACAAUCCAUCAAUCUUAAAUCUCUCAAUAGGUGGAAACAUAUUAUGUACGUAUCUUAUAAGGAACAUUAUUGAAACAAUAGGCUAGUUGUCCAUUUUUUUAUUAAUGGUAUCAAUAGAAUCAGGUUUAUUUUGAUGAUGAAAUGUCUAUAUGGGACUCAUUGCCUUAAAGCAACACAAAAGUCACAAAUGGUAGUUAAAGGCUGACAAUUGCACUUUACUAACGAAACCCUCCUAACAAAAUCAUACAUCGUGACGUCACUAUUACUUAGAAGCCGUUUAGAUGUAUGGAAAACAAAGAAAUUGCGAUUUUGUAGGUCUAAUAUUGCAUUUAUAGUUGCUGUAUAUUAUUUAUUUUAUUUAGAAUUGAAUUGAAUAUUAAAGUGUAAGGAAUCGAAUGUUAGAGUUACACCAAGAUGAGUUAGCACCGAUUUUGAGAGUCCAGAUGGGGCACGGGUUGUUUUAAACGUCAAACUUCUAUGACGUUAUGACGCUCACUUGACACUUGCACCGUUUGGGCUAUUAAAGUCGUUUCCAAAUUAUCUUGGUCUGACUCUAUUAUUAUUUUAUUCCCAUCUUGGAUUAAAAAAAAUGUUAAAACUUAGAAGUCCUUUCUUUUUUGAUGUACAUUUACUCAUUUUAAGAUAAAAGGGGCACAGGGGACAACCGCAUCGAAACCAGUUUUCCAUAUAAACCUAUAUCCUAUUUUCGAAAAUUGACAUGAAAAACAGGUUUCAUACAAAAUUUUAAAAGUUCCUCCUUAUAAUAAAGCCAAAAUCGAAAAAAAAACGGUUGGGCAUACCAUAGCUAUGAUUAAAAUACUUUAAAUUGUGUAAAAAUAUUUUCCAUAAUUACAAUAUCCAGGGAGGAAAAUGAGGACCACGUUUGUACGGAAAAUCGAUUGUCCCCUAUCCUCUUAAUUGAAUGUAGUUAUAAAAUUCUACAUGCGUCAACAAUCCUAUUAACUGUUGCUCAGUGUAUAUUUAAGUAAUUUAGGAUUUGAUUGGAUCCGUUUAGAAAUAGGUACUUGAUGUGUCAAAAUUGCUAAUUGCCAAUUUGGAAAUCUUUUAGCAAAUACAUAAGAUUUAUCAAUGGUCAGUUAAGAGGAAAUAUUAGUUAACCCCCUUUUCAGAUUUAAGAAAUUUAAAUCAACGUUGCUGUCUCACAGGAGCGGGUGGAGCCUCAAAAAUGUGCGAUAAGGACCACUGCAGCUCCGUCCUAAAUUUCGACGUAACAAAAUCAGAAAUCGAGGUUUCGUUCUGGACAUUUUCCUCCUCCAGAAUUAACCAAUCGUAACUAAAUUUUGGGAACGGAAUAACAAAUAAAUUAUGUCUGACUGUUU